rfam:Rhynchosporium commune strain TK7 genome assembly, contig: RCO7_scaffold012
GCCUGGAUAGUUCAGUGGUAGAAUACAUGCUUUGGGAAUCAUCCUGCAACAUCUGUAUGUGGUCCUCGGUUCAAUCCCGAGUUCAGGCC